UAUAUAUAUAUAUACAGUAUAUAUAUAUAUAUAUACAGUACCAGUCAAAAGUUUGGACACACUUUCUCAUUUUUUUUUUUUAAAUGUCUUUACUUUUGUUAUUUUCUACAUGGUAGAUAACACUUUUUUUGUUUAGAACAUCAUUCCAUAUGUGUUCUUUCGUAGUUUAAAUGUCUUCAGUAUUAAUCUACAAUGUAGAAAAUAAUAAAAUUAAAGAAAACACUUCUCAAAAAAUGUAAAGGUGUGUCCAAACUUUUGACUGGUACUGUAUAUAUACAUAUCCGACAGCUAGAGACAAUGUAAUGCCUUUGAUAGGGACACUUCAAAGUGAUUUUAGUAGUAUGUGAUGCACAGUGCCACACAGGGUUUGCUACUGAGAGGCAGCUGAGUAUGGCAGCACUGCAAACAGAGGUCAGAGGUUUAAGGUAACUGCCAGGGAUCUGGAAGGAUCUGGAAGGUUCUGGAAGGUUCUGGAAGGAUCUGGAAGGAUCUGGAAGGAUCUGCAGAUGAGUGUUCAGACAGCGGUCCAACGCAGUUAGACCCCCCGAUCUGCUCCUAGCACGCACAUCUUCCUUUGUUCAUCACACACACACACACACACACACACACCUACACCAACAUCCUCACAGUCACAGUCACACUCGCAUACACAGACUGUACAGAACCACUUUGCAUGGAUUUCAAAAUGUUAACGGAGGGAGGAGUGGGAGACAGACAUGUGUACACCCAGUGUGUUCGAGGAGAAAUGUGAGUGUGUAUUAGCUUUCUUGGUGUGUGUGUGUGUGUGUCUGUGUGUCUGUGUGUGUGUGUGUGUGUGUGUGUGUGUGUGUGUGUGUUCUGAUUAUUCUCUCUGACUUUGCACUUGAAGUUGGUGUGGCACUGGUGCCUUUUCACAGUAACCCCUCCGCCCCUCCCUUCCAUAGUAAUCUUUAAGGUUGCCAUGGUCACCAGGCCACAGAAAUGCUGUAUUGCUUCCCUCUCAUUGGCUGUUCAGGACUCCUGUGGGUGGGGCUUUUGGUUUGGGGGCGUUACUAGCGAAGUCUGCGAGGGUUUCACAUGCACUGGGACAUUUGUUACAUUCUCUCUCUGUCAUUUGCUUUUUUUUUUGUAGAAAAGACAAAAAAAGACACUGAAAAUGAAAUAAAAAAAUGAUAUGAGCUGUGGUGUGGUGUUGGCACUCUUUUAUGGUGGAGCUGGCGUGGCACGUCUAUAGGCGUUGAUGUGAGCAGGGACUCGCAUCUCUGUUGGAGCAGCGAUCCCUCCAAACACUGCGGCACACACGGCAACUCAUUCUCUCUGGGUGCCACACACACACACACACACACACACACACUCUAAGACACU
ensembl:lncRNA